rnacentral:rRNA from 1 species
UGGGGGAUCUUGCGCAAUGGGCGAAAGCCUGACGCAGCGACGCCGCGUGGGUGAUGAAGGCCUUCGGGUCGUAAAGCCCUGUCGAGGGGAACGAAACGGUCUCGACCUAACACGGCGGGGCCCUGACGGUACCCCUAAAGGAAGCACCGGCUAACUCCGUGCCAGCAGCCGCGGUAAUACGGAGGGUGCGAGCGUUGUUCGGAAUCACUGGGCGUAAAGGGCGUGUAGGCGGUCUGCUAAGUCUGAUGUGAAAGCCCGGGGCUCACCCCCGGAAGGGCAUUGGAAACUGGCGGACUCGAGUCCCGGAGAGGAGGGUGGAAUUCCUGGUGUAGCGGUGAAAUGCGUAGAUAUCAGGAGGAACACCGGUGGCGAAGGCGGCCCUCUGGACGGUGACUGACGCUGAGACGCGAAAGCGUGGGGAGCAAACAGGAUUAGAUACCCCCGUAGUCC